GAUGAAGAACGCAGCGAAAUGCGAUACGUAAUGUGAAUUGCAGAAUUCAGUGAAUCAUCGAAUCUUUGAACGCAUAUUGCGCUCUCUGGUAUUCCGGAGAGCAUGCUUGUUUGAGUAUCAGUAAACACCUCAACUUCCAUAUCUUUUUUGAAAUGGGAGUUGGACUUGAGUGAUCCCAACGCUUUUCCUCACCGAAAAGUGGCGGGUUACUUGAAAUGCAGGUGCAGCUGGACUUUUCUCUGAGCUAUAAGCAUAUCUAUUUAGUCUGCCUAAAAACAGAUUAUUACCUUUGCUGCAGCUAAAAUAAAGGAGAUUAGUUCUUGUGCUGACUGAUGCAGGAUUCACAAAGACAGGCUUCGGCCGACUUUGUAAACUCGAUCUCAAAUCAAGUAAGACUACCCGCUGAACUUAAGCAUAUCAAUAAGCGGAGGA
rnacentral:misc_RNA from 1 species